GACUACAGGGGUAUCUAAUCCUGUUUGCUCCCCAUGCUUUCGUGCCUGAGGGUCAGUCAUUGUCCAGUAAUCUGCCUUCGCUUUCGAUGUUCUUCCAGAUAUCUACGCAUUCCACCGCUACACCUGGAAUUCCAAUUACCUCUCCAAUACUCUAGUCAACCAGUCUCCAACGCAAUUCCUGAGUUGAGCUCAGGGAUUUCACGUCAGACUUAAUCAACCCCCUGCGGACCCUUUACGCCCAAUAAAUCCGAACAACGCUCGCCACCUACGUAUUACCGCGGCUGCUGGCACGUAGUUAGCCGUGGCUUCCUCCAGGGGUACCGUCAAUUUUCGUCCCCCUCGACAGCGGUUUACAAUCCGAAGACCUUCAUCCCGCACGCGGCAUUGCUGGGUCAGACUUUCGUCCAUUGCCCAAAAUUCUCGACUGCAGCCCCCCGUAGG
rnacentral:rRNA from 1 species